rnacentral:lncRNA from 1 species
AUUCUCUUGAUGGGGAUUUAGGCUACAGCACUGGGAAAAUAAUCAUGGGACUGGAUUUCAGGGCCCUGGCCACCUCAGCUCUUCAGGAAUGAAAAGCAUAAUGUUUUCCAUGGUGAUGCUGUGUCUCUACCUCCUCCCUCUGAACCUUGUGAGAGCCACGAACUAGGCUGGACUUUGGUGUCUGCCCUUCAGAUGAUUGGUGCCAUAAGAGGGCCACAAGCGGCACUAUUUCCAAGACAUGGAAACAACCUAAAUGUUCAUUGACAGAUGAGUGGAUGAAGAAGAUGUGGUACAUAUACACAAUGGAAUACUACUCAGCCAUAAAAAAGAACAAAAUAAGGCCAUUUGUAGCAACAUAGAUGGAACUGGAGAGUCUUAUACCAAAUGAAGCUUUUUAAUGUCAGCUCCAAAACUCGAAGUGUACAUAUCAGGAGCUUGGAAGAAAAGCCUGGAGAAAGAGUGGAGCACUCUUUUUAAUACCUGAUGCAGAUUACAUCUUCUGAUGCCCCCCAAGGUGCUAUUACAGAGGACAACAUGGACAUCAACACCUCUGAUUCAGAAAAAUUGAUCUCUGAAUGGCCAUUAAAAUAAAAACUAUUCAAGAAGUCAGCUGCUGCUAUAAAGGUCAUCUGGAAAGUCCAGGGAAGGACCCUGAGCUGCUGCUGGGAAAGAGAAAUUGUCCUCUGGCUCGUGAGCUGUCAUGUUUGUCUGCUGAGUGGCUUCAGUGGUUUCAUCUGUUGCUGAAAGAGCCAAGAGAGAGGGAUAAAACGGGACUAUAAUCCAUACCACAAUGAGCGGGACGGGACCAGCAGCCCAGAAGAAGCAAAAGGAAUCUUAAUGAAUUGGAGACAAUUGGAGGUGGUUUAUAAGGAUGAAGUUCAAAGGUUUUUCUUUAGAAGCCAUUGAGUUGGUAGUCUAGGAGAGCACCUUGUAGUGGUAUUUGCAUAAGGAGAAAGAUGUCAAAUAUUCAAAGAUGCCUUUACUCAAAGAGCCAGUGGCACUUAAGUGGCCAAAUAGCUUACAAGCACUUAUUAAGGUAAGCAAAGCCUCACUCAUUGCUUGUUGUCAGACAUCUGAUUCUAAUUAUGGGAGAGCUAGAUAAACGAUGAUGCUUGGGGUAGAUAGAAGCUGGUAUGCCUUUUCUAAGCUCAUUAGUGCUUACAGCUUGCCAGUUUACACAUACACACACAAGGGGUCUGAAAUAAAGACUAGUUUCUGUGUUGUUUGUGUCUGUAUUCUAGUGAUAAUCUUCUGCAGGGAUAAAUACAGCUUCAGAUGUAACCCUAGAUUAAAAAAGCAAAAAAUAAAAAAAAACCUAGCUUUCAGUUCACAUUUUCUCAAAUCACCCUCCAGCCCUAACCCCUGGAGUAUCACUGGAGCUGUAUUACUGUUAUUUCUCCCUAAAUCACACAAUCCCAUUUCUCUACCGUUUUUUGCUUUCCCUAACUGCACUCUAACCCCUGCCACAACAAGAUCAAAAACAACAUCAAGGAAAACCCCACAAAGGUUUUGUUUAAAUUCCCUUCUACCUCACUUUCCAUCAAAUAAAUUCCUUAGAAGUCAUAUCAUGAUUAAUAUUGUUAGUUUUCAGUAGAAUCAUUCCACUAAUUUCACAAAAAUAUGAAUCAUAAAGAUAGAAGAUUGAACAUUAUUUAUAUAUUCUUAUUUCUUCUACUUUUUAUGUUAGAAUCCUAAAAAACAAAAAUUGAUUUUUACUAAUGUGUCAUUGCUACAUAUGAAGCAUAUAUGAGAAAAUUUACUUAAAUUUAACUCAGUUUACAGUAGCCUCACCCAGCUUGCUAUUACUAUUAUCUUUCAAUAAUUUUUCUCCCCAGCUGCUAUCAGCUGCUACUUAAACCUAUGUGCUUAAUAAAUAGAGUUGGGGUGAUUUUC